GACUCUCUGCCCUUCAAGUGAGGUCAGAACGUCCACUCGGAAUAGCAAAACCUUAGGGGUCACCUUAGAGAUCCGGUGAGCCAGCCCACACAAAAACAAGUGGGACGCCUGAUGGAUUGACAGCUGCCCCCACCUCAUUGGCACUCGAUGUGAGUCCAAUGACCCACGGUAGUGGUGGAGAGUCG
rnacentral:other from 1 species